GCCGGGUACGGUGGCAGGUGCCUGCAGUCUCGGCUACUUGGGAGGCUGAGGUGGGAGGAUCACUUCAGCACAGGAGUUCUGGGCUGUAGUGUGCUAUGCCAAUCGGGUGUCUGUACUAAGUUCGGCAUCAAUAUGGUGACCUUCCAGGAGCGGGGGACCAUCAGGUUGCCUAAGGAGGGGUGAACUGGCCCAGGUCGGAAGUGGAACAGGUCGAAACUCCUGUGCUGAUCAGUAGUGGGAUCGCACCUGUGAAUAGCCACUGCACUCUAGCCUGGGCCACAUAAUGAGACCCUGUCUCU
rnacentral:SRP_RNA from 1 species